rnacentral:rRNA from 1 species
AUGCCUUGGCGGUAGGCGGCGAUGAAGGACGUGGAAGUCUGCGAAAAGUUUCGGUGAGCCGACAACAGGCGUUAUAACCGGAAAUGUCCGAAUGGGGAAACCCGGCCCGUAAGGGGUCAUCUGCAUCUGAAUAUAUAGGGUGUGGAAGCUAACCCGGAGAACUGAAAUAUCUCAGUACCCGGAGGAAAAGAAAUCAACCGAGAUUCCCUAAGUAGCGACGAGCGAACGGGGACUAGCCCAAAAGUCUCAGUGGUUCUAGUGGAAUGGUCCUGGAAAGACCAGCCAUAGAAGGUGAUAGCCCGGUACACGAAAGGGCCAUUGAGAUGAAAUUGAGUAGGGCGGGACACGUGAAAUCCUGUCUGAACAUGGGGGGACCAUCCUCCAAGGCUAAAUACGACCUACCGACCGAUAGCGAACUAGUACCGUGAGGGAAAGGCGAAAAGAACCCCCGGAGAGGGGAGUGAAAUAGAACCUGAAACCGUAUGUGUAC